AGAGCGCUGGUAACUGGGCGGGCCGCCGGGUAGCCGCAGGUGGAGCCUGGAGCAGUGGCCAAGGAACGGAACCCGAACCCUGAGUCCCCGAAGCCCGGAAUCCCCGAAGCCCUGCACGGGGACCCGCCAGGAUGCCCCGCGGGGACUCGGAGCAGGUGCGCUACUGCGCGCGCUUCUCCUAUCUCUGGCUCAAGUUCUCGCUCAUCAUCUACUCGACGGUGUUCUGGGUGAGUGAUCCCAGUGGGGUCCGGGCCGAGGUGGGUGGAGGUCCGCACUUCCUCGACAGCUCCCACGCGGGGCCGGGAGUUGUUUCCAGAUUUAGCUGCUCCGGGGAGAGCGCGGGGAGCGCCUUCUGGCUUCUCGCCAGACUCUCCCUGGGACCGGGAAAUUCUGCCCGCUCCAGUUCAGCCCUAAUUUCAGCUGCUUCAUCUGGAAUGUUAGAGCCAGUUUGCCGACCAAGAGCAACUGUUACCUGAAUGGUGGUUGAGUCUGCCACCCGAGCCCUCUGCGCAUCAGCUGGCAGGCUGGUAGGCGGUGGUUACGUUGUUGGCCGCGCCCACCACGCCUGUAGGGUGUUAGAGUUUGCCUCCGAUCAGCGGGUGAAGAAGUGGUUAGUCUUUGUGAUUGGAGUCACUUGGAUUCCGGGUCUGGUCCCCGCAAUUACUUGCCUGUACCCCAGGUCAAGGCACUUCCCCCUCUGCAUCUUGGUGGCUUCUUGGGUGGAAGGGGGAUGCACGUGCUUCCGCCCUGAGUGGAGGAUUACAGUGGACAGAGGUCUCUUCAGCUCCCACAUGCUCAGUUACUGUUUCCACUGUCACUGGGCUUUCCCUCCUCUGCUGCCUUGUUGAGGAGCAGAAUGGCAGUAGUUGGACACGAACUAGGCUUUGAAUCUUGUCGCUAUCAUUUUCUAGCUGAGUGAUCUUGGGGAAGUUACUCUGGGCCACAGUUUCCUCAUCUGCAGAUGGAGGCAGUAAUUAUUUUCACCUUUUAGGAUGCAGGCGGAGAUUAAAUGAAAUGUAGUGCUUAGUAUGGAGAUCAGUGCAGAGUUCAAGAAGCAGGAGCCAUUAUUCUGGGCAGGGAAUCUGGACAUAAAGUAGUGUAAGCUCCCUAAGAGCCUGGUUUUUAUAAGGGCAUUUUCAGACGACCUGGGCCUUAGCGAAGAAAUCAGGAUACUUUUCUACAGGCCGGCUCUACCCCUGCCCUUCUAGAAUAGCUCCCCUGGCUGUGCUCUGCCAUAAGGGCAGACACUCUGUGUCCCUCUGAAACUCACUCUCUCUCUCUCUCUCUCUCUCUCUCUCCUAGUUUCACCCCCAGCCCCUCACUGAACCUUUUCUGCUGACAGAAGCUGUUGAAUUUGCUAUCAGGACUUUUGAUGGGACCCCUUUGUGGGUGGGAACCCACAUCAUGAUUCUAGUCCUACUCUGUAACUGGCCCACUGGGAUAUCUUAGGCAAAUCCCUCCUCUGUUUUGGGUCUCAAAACUGUUCAUUAAUUUUGCCAUGUAGAAAACUCUAGCCUCAGGCCAGCUUCCAGUCCAAUUUCCUGGCUCUAGGUACAGUGACAGAGAGAUGCGUAGUACGUUUUGGGGCUAAAGGAUAGGGCAAGGACCAGGGCAGAGGCUACAGAGAAGCAGUUGUGGGGUUGGGAUGGGUGAUUUGAGCUGUAAUUCAGUGGUUCUCAGCCAAUGUUGCAUCAGAACCAACUAGGGCUUGUUUUUGCAGUGUGGGAGAGAACCCAGGGCUGUGCGCAUGCUAUAGGCAAGUGCUCUACCACUGAGCAACACCCCCAGCUCUCAAUUAAAGAAUUUUUAAAAACACUACAGAUUCCUGUGCCCUGGCAAAGGUGUUUAUUUAAAUUUACUUAGGCUCCAGGUAAUUUUAGUAGGCAGUCCAGAUUAAAAACUGCUGCAUUAGGGGCUGGGGCUGGGGCUCAGUGGUAGAGCACUUGCCUAGCAUGUGUGAGGCACUGGGUUCGAUUCCCAGCACCACAUAAAAAUGAAUGAACAAAUAAAAUAAAGGUAUUGUGGCCAUCUACAACUAAAAUGUAAAACACACACACAAAACUGCUGCAUAAGAUGGUCUUAUGUGUCCUGUAAGUCCCCAGGGAUUCUUUGCCCACCCUUGUCUAGCUUAGAACUCUUCUUUCUUUCUGCAGUUGAAAGCAAAGGCCAAGGCUGAUCCUUCUCCUGGCCAUCUCUUCACCUCCCCAUGCCUCUGUUUUCUCAUCUGUGGAAUGGAUAAGUGAUCCCCUACCUUCCACCCCACAGGAUUAAUAAUGUAGUGAGAGAAAAGUACUAUACAAGGAUAAAUUAUGCAAUCGCAAAUUUCAAGGACUUGUUCUGUCAUUGUCCUUUGCAGCCACCAGAGAAGCCCACCCCUUGGCCCUUGCUUUGCUUUGCUUGAGGCCAGGCAGGACUCAGAACUUGGAAGCCUUCUUCUGGCCACCUGAGGUUGCUUUACUGCUGUCCCUGGAAGUAUUUCUGCUUAAUAAUCUUACCACCGUUGCCAAGAACUCAGACACCUGCUGGCUCUGCCGGGCAGCUCCAGGUGCCAGAGUUUGACUGCAGGGCAGAGACUCAGGAUCUGAGUUAAGUAAUUUGUCCUGAACUGAGUCUGCUGUUAAUUGGAAACCAUUUGCAGGAAAGCCCAUUAUCUUUGUUCCAUCCCUCUUCGAGAGGGGGGUGGGGCAAGGGUUAUUUGCUUUAUAAGCCCAGAGUGCUAACGCUUUCUGUCUUUAGGCCUGGGGUUGGGACCCUAAAAUUUACCAUAUAGCCAUGCACUUUCUGUAAGACUCCCCUUAAAAAUUAUUUUUGACAGGAAGUGCAUGCCCUCUGUGCAAAAUUUGAAAGCAGAAAAGCAUCAGUAACAACCUCCCUUCUUCUCUCCUAGCUUACCCCGUCCAGAGGGACCCUCGCCACAGGUUCUUGUGAUAUCAUUGACUGAGGUGUCCUAGGCAAAGGAUGUUGUAGGCACAAACAUCCUUGCCUAUAAAAUAAUAUAAAUAGUAUAUACAAAAUAAUAUAUAGUAUGUGUAUAAUAUAUAUAUAUAUAUAUAUAUAUAUAUUUUUCCACAUAAGGCAACACCGUACCCAGAACCAUGUAUAGCCCCUUACUUUUUCACUUAAAUCCUUGGAAAGUUUGGUGACCUGCCAGGGGCUGCCUCAUUCUCGAUGGUACAUAGAUGUCACUCCAGGCUAUGCCAGAAUUUAUUUGAACAGGCCCCGCUAGGGAAUUCUGAGGUUGUUCUAAUCUUUUGUGGGAGCAGGCAGGUGAUACUGUGGGUUUUUUUUUUUUGUGUGUGUGUGUGCGUGUGCCUGUCUGCAGGGUGAUUUCUAGAAGUGGAGUUGUUGGCUAAUGAGGAUGUGAGUGUCUACCGUAACGCAGAAGUUCAGCUAACACAGCCACAUGCGGCUGGAUGAGUUUUUGAAAAGUGAGAGCUGUGCACCAUACGUCAACUCCAGCGCCAACCAGUGGAACAGAGGAAAACGGAGGGGCCCUCCUGCUCCCUUGAGUCUUUUCCCUCCCGUUCCCUGCAGGGCCAGUCACCACGGGAACCUCUGGUGUGAUAGAAUAGGGUUGCUUGGUUUUGCGUGGGUAUUUACAUUUUUCUUUUCUGUUUUGCAAUGCUGGGGAUGGAACCCAGGACCUUGAGCAUUCUAGGCAAGUGCUCUACCACUGAGUUACACCCCAGCCCUUGAUUUUUUUUUUCUUUGUAUUAAAGAUUGAACCUAGGGAUGCUUAACCACAGAGCCACAUCCCCAGCCUUUUUAAUAUUUUAUUUAGAAACAGAGUCUUGCUGAGUUGCUUAGGGCCUCUCUAAGUUGCUGAGGCUGGCUUUGAACUCGCAAUCCUCCUGCCUCAGCAUCCCAAGCCACUGGGAUUACAGAAGUGUGCCACUGUGCCCAGCCCAGCCCUUGAUUUUGAUGUUGUUAAAUUUCCCUAAAGAGAGGUGAUACCAAUUGUAAUAUUUACUUCAUAUAUUUCUUUAAACUGACUUCAAAUUUAAAAGGGGGUGCUGUAUCUUUUCUACUAACGGAAAACCUGUCCCCUCAACAUAGAUAGCAGAUAAUGGUUAAAAUAAAAUACAGGGAUAAUGAGACAACUUUAUGAAAUACUAGCUACAUGUUGUGGGUGCUGGGGUCACCCUCUCUUUUCAACAGGCAGGUUGGCAGGUACUUUAGCAGCUUGAACUUUAGACUGAGACUCAUGUGAUUGGAGGGGUCAGAAGGGAAUUGACUCCAAAGAGAAGUUCAGGCCUUUGAGUCAAUAUGAAUGAGACCCAGAGCCACCUACAGUGAUCUCUGGUUUUGCACCGGGGGCCCUUUUGUUUGCAGAGGGGGCUGAGAGACCCAAUGUGUUUAGGGUCUCUAGGGGAGCUGGCCUGAGCCCCCCAGAUCUCUUUUCCUCUGCAGGCCAGUUCUCCCAGCUCUUUCCAGAAUGUUGCUGAAAUGGUUCCAUCAGAAAUGGGCUCUGCCAGAGACACUCGGAGCAGGCUCUUCCCGCAGUCCAGGGUGAAUCAUUCUGACACAUGCACCCUCAGACCACUGGGGACACGCCUCUAAUUUUAGCACUGCCCAGGGUAUUCGAGAGAUCUGCUUACAUGGCUGCUUUUCCUUGCUGGACUGUGGGCUCCUGGAGGCCAGGGGUGUGGCUCAUUUGAGUCUUCCUCUGAAUGCUGGGCUUGGGGCUGGGCACAUAGUAGGUGCUCAGGGAACGCUUGUUGCACGAGGGCCGUUGAGUCCUAGCUGUGCUACAGGCAGGCAUUGGGCCUGGGGCAGAGGCUGGCUUGCCGGGCAGCCCUGGUAGUCGGGUAAGCAGAGAGGGCUGGGCAGACCGUGCAGCCACUGGCUCUCUAGGAUGCGCCAGGCCCUGCUGCCGUGGCAGUGGGGCAGGGUUUCCAGCUGGGUAAGGGUGUCAGGGCUGGGGUGUCGCCUGAUGAGGGAGAAAAGAGCCCAGGGGGGCCGGAGAAUGGGGAGGAAGCGCGCGUGGACAGGUGGCAGCGGAAAUGAGUGCCAGAGGCAACCUGAGCUCUCUCUGGCCUCCUUCCGGGAUGGACGGGUUCAGCGGAGCUUGGCCCAUGAGUUUUGUACUUCCCUGUGGUGCCGUGGUUAGAGGGUGGCCUCUGUCCCAGGCUGCGCGGGUCCCACAUCCUAACUGGCACGCACAGGUCGAAUGGAUGAGGCCCUCACUCCCCGGGCCUCCUUUACCUAUGGAUGUUAGAACCUGCCAGAAGGCUAAAUGGAUUCAGAUGUAAAAGUGACCUUCCCAGGCCCCCAGCUCAUCUUCCAGGGAGCAGGAGAGGGUCGGAGGUGGCCUUUGGAGAGGAACCAGGUCCCUGGCCUCCCCCUGUGUGGGACCAGGUGAUGACAGACAGAAAAGAAUGUGGAUUCCGUUUCCAGCUCUUGGAAAAAGAGCUUUGUUGUUUUGGUGAAAAAUAAUACGGGCACCUGGUUAUAAACCGAGUUCCAGCCACUUGGCAAAGCACCUGGGGACGAUAGAAGUCCCCUCCAGUUCUACCCCCGAGGGAGCUGCGGUUAUUUGUUAGUGGACACCCACCCGGGUCUCUUUGUGUGUCUAGGUAGAGGUUUUAUCUCCUUACGUUGUUUUUCUUCUUGCGCUUGGUUCUUGGGCAAGGCGUCCUCUGUGCCAAGCAGGUACUUCAAAGGGGAAAUUAGGAAGCUGCUGUUGGAAGUGGGGCAGCUUUCACUUUGGAGAAGUGGUCAGCAUGCCCAGUGGGCUGUGGGAUGGGGAUGGCCUCACAGCCUGGGGCUGACCUUGGACUUGAGCACAGAGCAGUCCUGUCUUCCUACAGGGCAUGUUGGAAAGCCCCCAGUGCCUUCCUCGUACAGAAGGGCAAAGCAAGACCCCAAGAGAAUUCCCCCACUCAGUCUAGGUUCUGUGGGUGGCUCCUCCUGGGGGGAGACUGCUUCAUCCUGCAGGACUGGACCCUGGACCUUUGGCUUUUGGUUCCUGGAGAAGCAGGUAUAACCAGCUGCCUGCCUACCCCGACUUUUCUCUCUAUGUGACUCACAGUGCCACCCUGGGUGGGGCUCCGAGGCAAGCAGAUAAGGGCCUGAUAGUGAAAUGUCGGUACCAGUCGGCUCCACUGGCAGGGAACGAUGUUGUCUGGGUGAACCGGGACAGAGGGCCAUUCCCAGACAUGUGAACGGGUGUGAGUGGGUUAGAGCUGAUAUCUUGCUAGGAGACAGGAGGGGCUAGUCUAAGGCAGCCAUUCUUGCUGGGUGGGUGGGGACAGUUCAGUUGCUUAUUCAUUCAGUCGAUAAAUAGUUACAUGACACCUGUUGUAUGCACUGUGGUAGGUGCAGGAAAAUACUGUGAACCAGAGAGGCUGCCACAAAGCAGAAAACAAACACUCUUGCUGAGGAGGGAAUCAGGGAGUCAUUGGGGAGGGCCGGGGGUUCCUGCUGUAGAUAAUAUGGUCAAGGAAGGCCUUAAUGAGGAGCUGACAUCUCAGCUGAGGCUUAAAGAAUGAGAAGGAGCCAGCCAUGGUAAAAGGCUUGUAGACAUCCCACACAGAGGGGACAGUAAGUGCAAAGGCCCCGAGGCAUAUAGGCGAGUAAACCUGAAACAGAAGGGGAGCUCUAAGAGGGACCAAGAUGUGGGUGGAGAGCGUGGCUGAGACCCAAUAUACGUAUGAGAAGUUUGGAGUCUAAACAACUGAAAGUAGAGGUUUAGUUAUCAUGACUGGUGGCAGGGCCAUCUGGAGACCUAGACCAAGUGUCAGCUCUUCCGUGUGACCCUGGGUAAAGGAUCACCUCUCUGUGCUUGAUAGCCCCUCAUCUGUGGACAUCCCAGCAGGUUAUGGGGAGACCCCUAUGAGAGCGAAGGUACCAGGCCCCGUGCCCCGGGAGGAUGGAGACUUUCCUGGGGUGCCUUGCAUUGCUUAGGGGGAGCUGGGGACAGAAGAUGGGAUGAAGACUCUGAAGUCAGUUCUGCCAGAGGAGGCUGCCUCCUCCUGGGGAUGCUUGUCUGCCUAGAGCAGAUGGUUGUGGUGGUGUCUGUAAGCUGAGCUCUGACCCCUCCGCGCACAUGGCUUUCCCAGGGGUUGGUCUGUUCCUGCCCUUUCCGCCCUGGACUGGUUGUGGGCCAGGCAGCCGGGUCCAGGCAAGGCCGUGAGACCACCCAGCACCCAGAGCAGUGGGGCUGCAAGAAGCCCCUGUGGGAGCCUGGGGCCAGGGUCUGUGCUGUGUAAGGGGUGCCAUCAGGUGGCUGUGGAUGUGGUGCGUCUGUUUGGCUCCAGGCGAGGCCUCUGGGGCCAGAAGAGGUGAGAGGGAGCAGUCUAAGGUGUGGUCUCCCCACAUAGAGGAGGGGAAGUGGGUGUCAGCAGCAAAGGCUACCUUUCGGACAACCUAUUAUGUGCUCUAAAGGAAACAUUUAUCUGCAGUUUGUAACUUGGAGACGGUUCUAUAGAAUCAGAUUCCAGUCACAAAUUCUGGGGGUGAUCUGUGAUCAUUUUUCCCCUUAAAUUAGGUCUCCCAUUUGACAGCUACCGAUUCAAGGGUGUCACACAGGGAAGCCCACCUGAUUUCACAAGUAUCCACCACCUGUCAUUCUGACCACCCAGGAGAGAUGCGGCAGGGCCUCGCCUCCUUUUCCAGAUGUGGAGAUGCCCGGCGAGUGUGAGGACCUUCUUUGAGUUUUAGCAAGGAUGAGGACUGGCUUUCUGACUCCUGAGCUCUGUAGUCGUUUGAAUGGUGACCUGCCAAUGUCACUGAAUCUGUGAAUGUGACCUCGUUUGGAAAAAGGGUCUUUGCAGGGCUGGAGUUGUGGCUCAGUGGCAGAGCACUUGCCUAGUAUGUGUGAGGCACUGGGUUCGAUCCUCAGCACUACAUAAAAAAUACAUAAAUAAAAUAAAUGUCAAUUAUAAACGACUAAAUAUAUUUUUUAAAAGGGUUUUUGCACACACAAUGAAGUUCAGGGCACUGAGAUUCUAUCAUGGCUUUCCUGGGCAUGCCCCAAUCCAGUGACAAGUGCCUUUAUGAGAGAAGGGCAGGGGGCUAUUUGAGAGGGACAGCAAAGACACAGACACACGCUGGGGAUGGCCACCCAUGGGCAAGGGCACACAAACUGGGAUUGCCAGGAGCCCCCAGGAGCUCAAAGAGGCUGCUGCUCCUCAGACCCCCGAGUUGAGGGAGGAAAAAAUCUGUUGUUCCAAGUCCCCCAGGUGGGCCUGGGAGCCUGUCACAAACUCUUUCUGCUUCAGCAGGUGGCCUCACUAGAGAGGGGCCCAACUGAGCAGGGCCUGGACCCUCUUCUCCUCCUGGACUGCCCUGACACCGAGGGAAGGAGAGGGCGGAGGGGGGAGGUGUCGGGGACAGCGGGGGUGGCAGGGGAGGGGCUGCAGUGCCCUGCACAGGCCCUCACCCAGGUCAGGGAGUUUCCUGGUGUCCCCGCUGAAGGAACACGGUAGACAGAGCGUCAGAACCGGGGAAGGGAAUGUGGGCUGAGUCUCCUCAGGAAGGACUUCCUGGUUCUGGAAGCAGUUCCGCUGCUUGCUAUCAGGGCUGUUCAGUAUUUGGGAUUCGCAUAUAACCUUCUGGGGGGGAAGCGGAGGUGGGGUGGGGGUCAGCAUAUGCGCUGGACUUCCAGUUGGGCUGAAUGUCCAGGGGCCGUACUGGGCAUCUGGUCUACCCCUUUCUCACAGAAAGGAGGACACUGAGCCUAGGCCACAUGGCAGUGCCCCAGUUUCUAGAAUGCUGGCCGAGGACAACCUCCAACCUCCUGAGGCCCCGUGGGUACUCCGCAGUGCCCCGUACCCCUGGUUUUGUCCUCUCCAGCCAGGAUGUGGGUGUCCACUCUGCAAAGGGGACUGCUGCCAUGCCUGGGGACAGAUCCCUGACGUGGGACUCUCAGAGGGAGGGAGAGUGCUCACUGCAGGACUGGAGCCCAGGCAGCAGGACCCAGCUCAUCCUCUGCUGGGUUCUGCUCAGCCUCUGACCCCCGGGGGUUGCUGUUUGCCGGGCCCUGUGAUGGUGGCUGUGGGGACAGACGAGCCGGAUUUGUCACUGUCCCUUGAGAAGUUGGCUGAGUCUGAGCGGUGAAUCUGCAGACUUAGGUGAUCUGGGCAUGUUGGGUGGGUCGGGUCAGCAGCUCCCAGGUGGCCCUGGCGGGGACACUUGGUCAGAGCUGGGCUCAGGGCUCCCCCAGGGGCAGCCAUGGCCACUUAACUCUUUACAUCCCCAAGGGGCAGGGGACGGGUUUGUGGUCAGAGCAGAAAUGAGACGAGGGCUGGAGUCGUCAAGGUGGGGCGGGGCCUGCUUCUGGUCUGUGUCUCCCUGUCUUCCUUCUCCCCUGAGCUCUCCUCUGCUGCUGGCCUCACGUGGACUUGAACUUGACUUUUCCGCCAGGAAAUCCCCCUAUGCUGCCCUCUCUCUGCCUGAGUCCUGCCCCCCACAUCCUCUUCCUUUGUCUUUAUGAGCUAACGUGCGCCCUUCCUGUGCGUGGCUCGGGCUGGGUUCCUCUGUGGACAUCCUUGCUAGGGAUGCUCUGGCCUGGGAAGCAGCUUGUCCCUGUCCUGCUACUGAGCAAGGAGGCUCGGAGAGUUUGUGACUCGCCAGUGCGUGCUUUUCUCUUUUAAGUACCCGGGAUUGAAACCAGGGGUGCUUGACCACGGAGACACCCCCAGCCCCUUUAAGAAAAAUUUAUUUAGAGACAGGGUCUCGCUGACACGCUUAGAGCCUCGCCAAGAUGCUGAGGCUGGCUUUGAACUCACGAUCCUCCCUCCUCAGCCUCCUGAACCUCUGGGAUGACAGGUGUGUGCCACCACCUGUGCUUGGUGGGAACUUUUCUCUCUUAAAGGCAGGAUUGGGGUUUUGCUCAUUGUUCAGUUGUGUAGUCGCUGGUCACACAUUUCCUUGACAUCUGGGUGCCUCCAGUUCUCCCAGAGGCUCUGCUGGAGGAGCAAGGGCGCUGGAGUGGAAGCCUGGUCCUUGGGGUCCCCCAGGAAGAGGGCUGAUGGGUGCCCUGUGGGGGGGCAGGGGGAGGGAGCACGCAGACCUCGAGGGUCGAAGGCUCUGGGCCCUGGUCUCCUCAGGCCCUCCAGAGCUUCAGGGAGGCAGAAACGGAGCUGGCUUCUCUGUCCUUCAGAAAAAAUUUUUCUUUUUCUUUUUUUGGAGAGGAUGUGCCAGGGCGUGAGAACUUUUGCUCCUGAUUGGGGGGGGCGGGUUGGAAGCUUGCUGUGGAACGAGCACUGGCCUGGGAGCCGGAAGAACUGGGUCACAGCUGCUGACCGAUGGCUAAUUCGCUGUGUGACCUUGUGGGAGUGACAGUCUCUCUCUGGGCUUCAGAUUCCCAUCUGAACAAUUGGGGGUUGGGCCAGGUCAGGAUCCAUCUGCGUACUCCUGGGGGGUCCACAGACAUUCGGUGGUCCAUGGGAGAUCGUUAGAAAUGUCCAGCAUGUCUGUAUUCAGUGUAAUGUAUCUGAAGACAGCAGUUAGUACCUCAGAUCUGUGACAGCGCAGGUGUUGAUUAGGUUAGGUCAGGACCCAAUUUAUUUUCAGAGGAAAAGUCAGUUGGUUUAAAGAAAAAUAUCAAGUCGAUGGCAUUGAACUUGACUUCUCAGCCAGGAAAUCCCCCUGUGCUGACCAGAGGCUAAACAACAUGGGAAGAGAAGGGCCGGAGCUUUAGAGGCAUGCAAAUCCCAGGUGGCUGCUCCUGGCUCUUUCCCGGGGACUUCAAUACUGUGAUGUGUUCAGUCCCAACACAGCCUGUACUUUGCUGACUUUGAAAGAAUGGUGAUGCUCAUUGUGUGUCACAGUACUUUACAGUUUACCAAGGAGCUUGGCUCUCUCUGGGGAUCUUCUCAGUGACCAUUCUAUUCCUGUUUUAUAAUAGAGAGAAACCGUGCUCAGAGAGGGAUACAGGAUAUCCAGCAUCACACAGCUCCUGAGGGGCGAGUGCCUUAGCUAGUGGGUACUUAUUAUUGGGUCACUUCCUCAGGGAAGGCUCACUGUGGCCUCUCCUCCUCUCUCAGCACUGGGGUUUUGUGUCAGGUGGCUUUGUUGUAUUUAUCUUCUCUGGUCCUGAUUUUUUUAAAGUAGGGGAAGAAAGAUUUAAGGCGCCAAGCCUUCCUCUUCCCCUCCAGGUCUCUUGCACAAAGAGCGUGUUCAGAAGCUUUCUAGUAGGUUCACUUAUGUAUAAUAGUUCGGUUCUGGUUCUGGCCUGUGUUUAGCGGCAGUUAGCAGUUAGUAAAUACCUGGGUAGGCAUCGACUCCGGCUGGAAGACCCUCAGGCCCCGGCUCUGGCCCUCGAGGUUUUGCUGGCCGCCUGCGGGGUCUGGAGCAGCAGCCAGAGCUCAGGCCUGGCAGAGGCCUCCUCUUGGGCGGCGCGGGCCUUGGAUCCCGCUUGUGUUCUUAUCUUUUUAUUGAAAAGCAAAUUCAAUCUUAUGGAAAAGGGGAAGGAAAGAAAGUUGGGGUUUUUGCUUGGAUUGUGCCUUGGUGUGUCCUCAAAGUGGUUCCAAGAAGUUCUGGGGUCCCUUUCAGGGGCCCAUGAGAUCAAAACCACCUUCCUAGGAAUACUAAGAAGCCCCGUUCUCCUUCCCCUGGGGCACCUGGUGGGGUAUUUCAGGGCACUCGGCUGAUGUGACAAUAGACAGAACAAGGAGCAGAUAUGAGAAUCUGUUGUCCCCUUAGCCACAUGUUAAUAUUUACAAAAAUGCAAAGUCCGUGCGACUCUUCUCAUUCAUUUUUUUUUUCUGGAAAAAAUAUUUCUAAAAAAUAUGCUGUGUAUGUUAACACAUCAAUCUAUUGUCGUUUUUAAAUAAGUUAAUAAAUAUUUAUAACACGUCUCAGUUUUAACUGACUUAUGGUAAAUCAUUGGUGAAUAUUAUCCACGGAGGAGGAAAGCUCUAGAGGCCUCAAGAUUUUUGAGGUGCGGAAAGGAAUUCUGAGACUACAAACUUUGAGAACCCCUGGCUUCCAAGAAGGCUGGUGCCUAAUAAGUGCUCCGUGAGUAGAUGUUGAAAGAAUGAACUAACUUCUUGGCUUAACCCAUGAACCAGGCUCCGGUGGCUUCUGAGAGCCUCCCCGGCCCCCUCCUCUCUCUCCUCCUCUGUCUGUCCUUGGCCCCAGUCCUGCUGAUCUGCUGUCCCCGUGGCACCUUCAUGUGCACCUGGGACUCCUUACCCCUUGUGCACUCGAGCAAUUCCUGCUUGUCCAUUAAAUAUUUCAGUUCAAAUACCUCCUCCUCCAGGAAGCCUUCCCAGAUCCUGCCUGUCUGACUUAGCAUCUCCUCCUCUGUCCCUUCUACACCCUUUUUGGCAUGCGCCCCAGAGUUUCUGCCACAUUUCUUGGUGUGCUGGUGACUCUUGCCAGGCUGGGCUCCUUGAGGACGGGAACUGGGUCUCACCAGUUCAUUUCCAGUGCCUGGUCUAUCGUAGGUGCUUAAUGUAAGUUGAGUCAGUGAGUGUGGCUUGGAAUUCAGAACAGGUCCACCUUGAAUUAGGUGUGGACCAAAAUGGCUCUAAAGGGGAACGGUUUCUGGUGUUUGGUUGGGUCUUGAAAUGUUUGAAUUACAAAAGUACCACGAGAUCACUGGGGGGAGAAAAAUAAGGAGCUCCCGUUGGGUCCUGGGAGCUCUGGUGUGACAUCUUGCUUCAGGAGCAUCUUGGUUCAUUGAGCCAUCGUGACCUGGCUUAGCUAAUCCGUUUCCCUGUGGCAGCAGUGUGGUCUGGGUGGUAAGUUACCAAACUUCCUGUGAGCUUCCGGGAGAGCCUCCUGUAUUAGCUGUCGAGGUCAAAUUUGCAUGUGUGUUCUGGGUCCUGCCUCCAGGCCCCGCCUGCAGUAGGUAAUAAAUAUCUGAAUGAGCUGUUCCACAGGCGUGGUUAAAUAUCACCCCACUGAGUGCUUCUCCUUGUUGGUUUCUUAAAUAAAGAAGUGGAGGGAGGUCCUUAUCACAGGGGUGACCCAGGAAGUCUUCCUGGGGGAGGAGGACUUUGAGUUGAGCUUUGGAGGAUGGUUGAGCGCCCUUUGGCUGUAUGACAAUGGUCUUUCUUCUGGGGCUGUUGUGGGACAAAGUGCUGGCAGUGUGUGCCUGAUGAUCGAGGAUUGGGGAGCGGGGGCGUCUCUGCCCCCUCUGGGGGUUCUUUGUUCAUGCAGAACUGCGACACAUCCCUGGGCCAGAUGGGAAAUCAGGACUGCACCGCCUCAGCCAGCUGAUGUGCGGCGACUCCCCGACCCAGAGUGGGGAAGGGGCUUGUCCAGGAUGGCGGGGAACGAGUGGCAGAGUCGAGCACCCUCACGGUCCAGCCCAGUGCUCCGUCCAGUCCGACGCUGCGUGCUUUUCCCCUGUGGCCUUAGGAAUCAGCCCUUGGAAUGCACACUCUGUUAAGUCCUCACAGGUGAUCCGAUUGUCCCUUCCAGCUCCAAUAGCAAAGGGGCAGAGGCGUGGCAUUCUGAAAAAAAAAAAGAGGGAAAGAACACCCAACGCACCCCCCCCCAUACAUGUAAAGCCAUUGAUUUGUUCUUUUCUUACAUAUAAAACUGCAUCUUGGGCUGGGGCUGGGGCUCAGUGGUAUAGUGCUUGCUUAGCAUGUGCAAGGCCCUGGGUUCGAUCCUCAGCACCACAUAAAAAUAAAUAAGUAAAAUAAAGAUAUUUAAAAAAAAAAAAACCCUGCAUCUUGUAUUCAAAACAGGAGCCGUGAUUUCGGCAAUGAUAGGGCAUCUCUGCAAGCCCUGCCAUCGUGCUAAAAUUGUGUAGAGACGGCCCCUAAUUUAUGUGUGGCCAGCUCAGCCAGGUCUCUCCCUACAGGACACGCAGCCCUGCUCUGGGGCCUCAGCCCCCUGCACCUGCGGCUGGAGUCUCCUGUCUCUCCUUCCCUUCCUGCCUGUCCCUGCCCCCCCCCCCCCCCCCCCCCCCCCCCUUCCUUUCAAGAGCUCCCAGGGGCCCCUCCCCCGUUCCUGAAAUUCCUCUGGUCCCCACUUUGGGUUCCACAGAGGCUCCAUCUCUGGUAAAGACCCAGGCCAGUGGGAGGAGAAGGGGUGCCUGGGCCAGUCCCUGGUGGCCAAGUGUGGGCUCUGAAAGGCUGCUGGGACCUGAACUGGAGGGCAUUGUACAGGACAGAUGUCAUUCUGUGACCUCAGUGUGCCUGUGUCUCCUAUUAAAGGGUCUGUGGGGACGGUCUUGUCCACUUCUGCUGGAAGCUGCAGCAGUGAGCACCGGGCCUGGGCGGUGGACGCCGGGGUCUGCAGGGGAAGGCAGGCCUGGGCCCCAGGAAGACAGGGGAGGGCUUGCCCGCAGUGGGGUGGCAGAGGGGUGUACCCCUGAGUGCUGACCCCAGCCGGGAGCAGCCCCCUCCCCACAGAGCUCUGCAUCCCGGGGUCCCCAAGCCCAUACAACAGACUCCAUUCCCCGUCCCUCCCCUCAGAGCUCCACCUCUAUGCCUGGGGUGCUGCUGGAGGUGGCCUGAGCUGGGGACUUCCUGUCCCAUGGUCAGACAUCUAGGGUGCACCUAGAACACUGUCUUCUGCGCUGGUUGGCCUCUGGCCAGUGAGUCCACUGGCCUGGGCCCUGCAGGCCUGAGCCAGGACAGAUCCUCUGCUGACCCCAUUAGCUGUGGACGGAGGGGACACAGCCCCCCGAGGCAGGCUCUGGGUCUCACGGUUCAGACUCAUGGGUGGCAAGACAGACAGGUCUGGGGAGGAAAGGAACCCGGGGGGGGUGUGGGUGGAGGGGCCUUGUUCUUGACUCCCCUCUUUCCCGCGGCUGUCUCCAUGGUUUUCAGACUCAACAUGAGUCACCCUCAGCCCUCAGCUCCCAGGGCCGUGAUCCAGGAGAGUCACCACGAGCUCCUUCUUUGGGCUUAGAGGCGGCUGAAGCAAUAUCAUUUCUCACAUUUAUUCGUCCUGCAGAAACACAGGCCAGUUCCUGAGCCCACAGCAGGCCGAGGAGCGUGAAGGGGACUCCGUGCGCCCCCCACUCUCACCCCAGGGCCUCCUCUGAUAUCCCCAGAGGACGUAAUUUCCUUGCAUCUGGCCUCAGAGUGUCCUGGUCAGCUACUUCUUAGACCCCGCCCACUCACCUGCCCCCGGCUCUGCUGCCCAAGAAGGGGCCGGGCUGGGCCAGCUCAGGGCCUGUGCUUCGUGGUUGUGGCUGUCCUUGGUCGGAAAGCCCACGCUGCCCUGGCUGGAUGCAUAACCAGGGCUGGCAGAGCUUCCAGUUAGCUCCGUCCCAGCCUGGAAUGUGCUGCGUGCGGAGGAGUCUCUUAAAUCAAGUUUCUGCUGAGGGGAGGUUAGCACAGCGGCUGCACGGCCCACUCUGCUUCUGGAUGGGCCUGUGUUCCGAGGACAGGGUCUCCCAGGGGCUGGCUCCACAGGCGGGCCAGGCGGACCCUGCAAGGCCUUGUCGCGCUCUGCCAGCCAGCGGGGGUGAGCGGGGAGGUAGGUGGGCCUUAUUACUGAAGACGACACAAAGAGGACAUGCAUAAGGAGCGAUAGGCCUUGCUCGUGGGCCAGAGGCCUGAGAGGAUCCAAAAUGUCGCUUCUCCCUAAGGGGAUCUAUAGAUUCAGUGUAAUCCCAAUCAGUGCCCUCUCCUACAUUUUUUUUUUUUUUUUUUUUUGGUGCUGGGGAUUGAACUCAGGGGCACUCGACCACUGAGCCACAUCCUUAGCCCUAUUUUGUAUUUUAUUUAGAGCCAGGGUCUCACUGAGUUGCUUAGCGCCUUGCCGUUGCUGAGGCUGGCUUUGAACUUGUGAUCCUCCUGCCUCAGCCUCCCGAGCCUGUGGGAUUGCAGGCGUGUACCACAGUCCAGCGCCUCUUCUUUUAUUCACAGAGAUUGAUAUGAUGAUUUUAAAUUACACAUGAAAGAGUCCAGAUCCAAGAAUAUCCAGGACACUUGUGAAAAAGGCAGGAAGUGGGGACUCUGCCUCCGAGAUGCCGAGAUUAUAAAGCUACAGUCACAGUAGGGAGUUUUGUUUAAGAACAGACAGAAUGACCAGUGAAAGAGGCAGAGAGUAGACCAGGCAGGUGUGGUCACUUAGGGAAUGGCAGUGGGGUCACAGCAGAUCAGUGGGGACAGGAAGGCUGGCUAAUAAAUGGUACCAGACAUGACAAAAGUAACACAGAAGCUACCUGUGCCAGAGGAUGUGUCCGGGAACAAUCAAGUUCUCUGUGCCCCAAGUCCAGCUUUUAUUUAUUUUUUGGUACUGGGGGUUGAACCCAGGGGUGCUUUAUUGCUGAGACACAUCCCCAGCCAUUUUUACUUUUUAUUUUGAGACAGGGUCUCUCUAAGUUGCUUAGGGCCUUGCUAAGUUGCUGAGGCUGGCCUUGAACUGAUAUCCUCCUGACUCAGCCUCCUGAGUCACUGAGAUUACAGACAUCAUUAUAGGCACCAAGUUUGAUGUCCCGUUUUUAUAAAGGGGGGAAGUUCUUCCUGUCCAGGCUCAAGACAGUUGGCAGCAAAGUACUAGUGACAAAGUCUAGGGACCCAGCAGGGGGAGGUAGCCUCUGCUGCUUUCUCAAGGACUGGCUGUGGGUUGGCGCUGGAGAGGAGCCAGGUCCUUAAGCACAGGCUGCUUGGAGUAGAGCUGGAACCUGCUCAGGAGGUCCAAGGUCCAGGUCUGUAGAGCUUAGGAUACUCUGUGGUGGUCCUGAAGGUGGGCAGGUACCUUCUUGGGGCAACAGAGUGGCCCUGUAUAAGUUUGGGUUGGGGCACUGCUAUGAUUCCCUGGAUCUGGUUGUCUUGCUUUCCCUGGGGACAGAGCUCUGCUGGGAAAGGGGAGAAGAGAUGGUUUCCUCCUGAAGGAAGUGGGUACAUGCUGUCCAGUGUCCUCUAGGUAGCUGAAGGCUGACUGGGCACGUAAUUCUUCUCUGCUUUCCCAGAGGAGCCAUGUGGGAGUGGUGAGGCUCAACCUCCAGGGCAGGUGCUCUAGGUAAGCCACCCGGUAGUGGCCACCAGCUACAUGUGACCAAACUGAAAUGGGAUGCAAAUGAAAGAAAAUGACAAAUCCAGGCUGGAGUGCAGUGGCGGGUGCCAUACUCCUAGCUACUUGGGAGGCUGAGGCAGGAGGAUCUCUUGAGCCCAGAAGUUUGGGGGGGCCUGGGCAACAAGGCAUGGCCUCAUCUCUUAAAGAAAAAAAAAAAAAUGACUGACUCAGUUCCUCAGGCACCUGAGCCACAUUCCAGGAGCUCACUAGGCACCAGUGGCUGGUGGCUACCAUGUUAGGCAUUGCCAUGGUCACAGACAUUUCUAUUGGCAUCUUUGCAUUUUGAAAGCUGUUUCACUCCAAGUCUCUCCAUCUGGGGACUUUAGUGACAGGCCAGAAGACUGGUCGGAAUCCUGGAUCUGGCUCUCACGGGCUCCGGGUUGCACAGUCUCUGCUCUGGGAAGUGAAAUCCGGUUCCCUGAGUGUGAGGAGGAGGUGCGGCCUCUGCAGCGUGAUGCACGAUGAUGUCAUUGCCCGGUGACGGCAGCAGGCCUUCCGGCUUCACAGGUGGAAGAGAGGCCAAGAGAGCAUGCCCAGGCCGUGGGGACUGAGUCAGUAAACCCAGGUCCAGGGCUGCUCCGGCCUCUCACUUUGAGCUGUCCCUUCCUGCACCCUGACCUCCUGCAGGGAGAGAGGCUGGGACAUAAGGGGCGGAGCCCGUGGGUGGCUGUCUGUAGAGUGGGCUUGGCCCAGGGCCAGGCAGAGCUGGCCUCGCGGCAGAAGGGCUGAUGGAGGGGCAGCCCUGGUUUCUCUGGGCCAGAGGCAGGGCACCUGCUGGCCCCAGGUUAUUCACACUCUCUGGCUGCGGAGUCAGCUCUGUAUUCCCCACCCCUUGCAAGCUGGGAACUCUGAAAAGUGUUUUGCUUGGGCUCAACAUGGCUUUGGGGCCUCAAGUGCUUCCUGAGAAGGUUCUAGAGUGAGAUCUCGGGGCUUCCUAGGAGAAAAGCUGGGGGUUCUGUCGUCUCCCUCCUCCCACUCUCCAUGUCAGUCCCACUCUCCAUGUCAGUCCCGCCUCCACGUGGGACUUGUUGGGCUUCCCACAGACCAGGGGACUUCACUUUUGGAACUGGGGAAGCCUAUGGACCCCUUCCCCAGAACAGCAUAUUUAUAUGCAUAUAAUGAAAUGCACAGUAUUACAAAGUAACCAAUUACAUUGUGAUAAAAUUAUUAAAACUUUAUAAAACCAAAUUUGUGAUAUAGUGGCAAUAUGCUCCUUUACUAAUACAUUAAAUCAUGAGAUUUAGCAGUGAGUCUAAUACUACUGUAAUUUUGAAUUAAUAUACGUGAUAUAAAUACAUAUAUACACGAUAUACAUAUAUAGUACUGGGGAUUGAACCCAGGGCGUUUAACCGCUGAGCCACACCCCAGCCCUUUUUUAAUAUUUUAUUUAGAAACAGGGUCUCACUGAGUUGCUUAGUGCCUUGCUAAAUUGCUGAGGCUGGCUUUGAACUCAUGAUCCUCCUGCCUCAGCCUCCCGAGCCACUGGGAUUACAUGCCUGACAAUAUUUUAAGGUACUUAUAAGGACAACAGUAUGAUUGCUACUGGUGACUGUUGCAGGUCUGUUAACUACCUCCAUUUGUGGCCUACAUUCACAUAGAAAGGAACAUUGCCGUCAGAGGUUACAUUAGUCAUUUUUCUGUUACUGUAACAGUUAAGGUCACCAACUUAUAAAGAGGAAAGGUUUAUUCCAACUCACAUUUUUGGAGGUUCUCGUCCGUGACCUAUUAUGCCAGUUGCUUUUGGGCCUGUGGUGAGGUGGCACAUCGUGGAGGCACCGUGUGACAGAGCAGAACCUCUCACCCUGUGGUUAGGGAAGCAAAAAAAGAUGGAGAAGAAGGGAUAGUGCCCAUCACUCCCCUCAAGGGAUGUCCCCAGUGACCUUAAGACCUCUCCCUCGGCCCUACCUUCUAAAGCCCCACCGCUUCCUGUAGGGCCAUGUGGGGAGAAGCCUGUGCCGUGGGCCUUUGUGGGGACACUUAAGAUCCAGGCUGUGGCAGAGGUUAGUGAUGUUUUUCUUUAGCUCCUUUAUUUACUGACUUUGUUUUUCGGUGCAGGGAAUUGAGCCCAGGGGCACUGCCCGCUGAGCCACACCCCAGCGCUAUUUUGAAUUUUAUUUGGAGACAGGGCCUCACUGAGUUCCUUAGCACCUCACCAACUUGCUGAGGUUGGCCUUGAACUCCCAGUCCUCCUGCCUCAGCCUCCCGGGCUGCUGGGAUGACAGCGUGCAGCCCCGCUCCUGGCUUUUCAGACCCCUCUCCAGGCCUCCUUGCAUCCACCCCAGCAUGUCUCCAGCUGCCGCUCUCCUGGCCUCAGUCUGGCCUCUGUCUGACUCGGUGUAACCCCAUGGAGCCUAAUACACAGCCUGAUUUAUCCCUUUAGGAGUAAAAAUGGACCUAGUGAAGCCAGAUUUAAAGUUAGGUAGUCAGUGUAGUUAGGUAAACCGGGUCUAAUAUCGAGUGAGAUCUAAAUGGAGGCCAUGCUGAGAAUGAAUUCCGGGAAACACAGGACAACUCAUGGAAUGUUAAUAAAGUCCCAGAAAAGCCCUAGGCCCAAAGCCCAUCCCAAAGAAGUGAUAAUGAAGUCCCUCCUGCCCAGAUUACUCCUCUGGCCCACCUGUGUCCCACCCCUCGGGCCUUCCCACCUACAUUCCAUCACCAAAAACUAUAAAAAGGGGAGACAACCGCACUUCCACGGAUUCCACCUCUUGGGUCCCCUUCUUCCUCCGGGAGAAGUCUUUUCUGCUGUCCUUUAAUAAACUUCUACUUUCCACUCUGACCUUGCCUCUGCGUGCUUCUCUUAUUCUUCAACAUUGGGGAAGCAAGGACUCGUCACCGGCCAACAGCGGUAACACUACCAGGUCUCUUCUGAGUGUCCACUUGCUCCAGCUGGGGCUGAGCCAGCCGGAUGGUGACCAGAUGUUUCCUGAAGGACACCAGGUGCCGCGAUGCAUCCUGGGGCCUCCUGCUUCCCAGAGGCUGCCUGGGGUUCGGCCUCUCCCCGCAGAGGAGGCGGCUGAGCUCCUGGACUCGGGGGAACUCUGGGUCUGGGUGGCUGGAUGGCGGGCUCCCCUACCGCCUGCUGGAGACGCUGCGAGGUUGCCAGCCUCAGCUCUGGGCCGGGCCCCUGGCCUGCCCACAGCGUACCCUUCUGUCGCGGCCCCACCGCAGCCGAAACCAUCCUGAUUGACAGCUGGGCCCUCUGCUUCCUGGCUGGGCUGGGGCUGGCCCCUGGGGAAGGGCUAUAAUUAGCAGGCUGGGAUCUUGCUGCCUGGGGCCAGUCAUUCUGUACUCUGAUGGAUAAGCUGAUGUCACUAGAGAUGUAAAUAUCAUUUGGAAACUUUGAAGUUCCUGGGAAGGUUCUGCGGGCCCCUCUCCAUCCCUCUGUCCCUGAAGCACUGUGUGGACAAGGAUCCCGGGUGGACCCUGCUGUGUGGGAGGCCACGCGGGGUUUGCCUGCAGGACCAGGAGGAGCGGGCUGGUGACAGCUCCGUGCAGGGGGGGGGGGGUCCUGGAGCCUUUCCGGUGGCUUCCGUGGUCUGGAAGUGUCACUAGGCGAACUAGCAAGGAAAUGUGGUGCUCCCUGACAGGGGUGAGAUCAGACCAGGGGGGUUCGUUUCCUGCCCGCAAAGCUGUCUGGAGGGUCCGGUCCCUGGGGAGCCUGCAGAAUUAGAAGGUGGCCCCGACUGCCCUCCUGGCGCUGGGGAUGGUUUCCAGCACUGGGCACCUCACGGCAGGGACAGGGCCGGGCAGGAAGGGGGCCGAUGGGGGAGUGGGGGAGACGUCAGAUGUCCUCGUCCUGCUGGGGAAGAGGGACCCUUUCUGCAUCAGGAAACAGGUCCCUGGGAAGGGUGUCGAUCUGGAGGUGAUAGGAUGGAAGCCUUGUGUGGUGUAGGGGCAGGGGACACUCCCACUUUUCAUCCAGAUGGAGGGACCCCCCCUUGGCCAACCCUAAGAAGGUGAGGCCUUUAGAUGUCUUCCUCACCCCAGGCCUGGGCUCGGGGGCUUCAGGGCUCCGUGGGGACCUGGGGUCCUUGGUGGCGGGUCUCUGGGCCCUCUGUGUACUCAGGUUAGGGUUUAGGUAGUGAUUCCUCCUCACGAGGGUCAUUUGGAACCAGGGAUCUGGCAUUUUGAAGUCUGCUUGCUGUCAUUCUCGGAGGACCUGUGGGGCCAAGGCCGGCCUUGAACCAUGGGUUUUACCACGUUCUGGGUUUUGUUUGUUUGUUUUGGUACCAGGGAUUGAACCCAGGGACACCUGGCCACUGAGCCACACCCCCAGCCCUGUUUUGUAUUUUAUUUAGAGACAGGGUCUCACUGAGCUGCUUAGGGCCUCAAUAAGUUGCUGAGGCUGGCUUUGGACUUGGGAUCCUCCUAAGCCACUGGGAUUGCAGGCGUGAGCCACCUCACCUGGAAUGUUCUGGGUUUUGGAGCAUGAGUGACCGUGCCCUAGAGAGAGGCCUUGAGAGGCCUCGGCGGGGAUUACCUUUCCGAGUCAACAGGCAGGCACUUGGCCAUGAACUACCGCAGGGUGCUGGGCCCAGGAGAGGGGGUUUCCUGGUAACCUUCAGUGGCGUGUCUCCAUCGGAAGCCCUCUUUGUGUGACUCCUGGCGUCCCGUCCCCGUGGCUUGUCAAAACUUGGGAGGAAGUAGGCCCUUCCUGUCAGGAUAGCCUUGGCCUGUGCAGAAGGAGGCCAAGGGAUCUAUUGAGGGGAUGUGACGCUCAGCAGGGGACCUGUUACAUCUACCCCUGUAAGUAAGCUCAGGCAGCCUCUCAGUGGCCGGAUGGUGACACUGGGAAAGCUAUGGCCUUGGCACAUCUUGUCAAUGCCGCCUCUGUGUGUCCCUCACCUCCUACACUCAGACCUUCACUGAUAACACCAAGGCUUCUGGUUACUCUCCCACAAGGCCUUGAGCUCAGUGCAGAAUCAGUCAUCUGAUUUCCCCCGUCCUCUGGAAAGUCAGGAUCCUUGCACAGGAAGGAGAUUGGGUAAAUAGGGUCUGACUCAAACCCGAGAGUGGGUGGGAAAGCCCAGCUCUGGUUCAUACAAGUCCUUGAUGAUAAAUAUCUGUUGUACUUUGCCAGUGUCAGGAAUGUCAGGGUGCUGGAACGAUUAAAAAAAAUCCUCCUUGGCAGGGAGCUUAUGUUCUGGUGGAGAGGACAAAAAUAAAUAAGUAAAUAAAAAUAAAGGAAAUAAUGUUGUAUGUUAAAUACUGAUAAAUACAAAGGAGGGAAAUGGAACCGGAAAAAAGGGAUUUGAUGGGGAGGGACUUUCCACUUCUAAAUAAGGUGUCCAGAAGGCCUCAGUGAGCAGGUGACCGUUGAGCAAAGAUGGAAGGACAUGGGGCUUGAGCCAUGUGGGUGUCAGGAGAAAGCGCAUUUCAGGUAGUGGGAACUACCUGUGCAAAGGCCCUGGGGUGAGCACAUAAGGUGUGUUUGGCAGCAGCAAGGAGCUUGGGUUUUCCUGAUGGUGAAUGACAGUGUGUGUAGUAACAGCGUGGAUCAUCUCUCCGUUGUCAGAAAACUUGAGAAUAAGGGAAUUAUUUUAAAAUCCCCUCAAAAUUCCUCGUUUCAACCUUCAGCCUUCCUUCUGGUCAUCCUGAAAGUAAAUUCCUUAUGUUUCCCCUUCGAUACCCUGACCCUGACCCUGACCCUGACCCUAACCCUGACCCUAACCCUAACCCUAACCCUAACCUCCAGGGCUGCCGUAGCAUCCAGGACCACCAUUAAGUCCCUCAGACUUGGUUUCCCAGCCGUCUGGAGGUCAGAAGUCCCAGGGCAAGGGGUGGACAGGGCUGGUUUCCUUGGGGUCCUCCCUGUGAUGUGUAGUGACUCUUCCUGUGUCUUCCCAUGGUCUGUGGGUUUGUACCACGACCUCAGUGUAAAAGGACACUGGGCGUGUUGGAUGGGGCCACCCUGAUGACCUCGUUGUAACUUAAUCACCACUUUAAAGGCAAAUCUCCAAAUACAGUCACAUUCUAUGGCUCUUCAGCAGAGGGAUCAGGGGGGGUCACAGUUCAGCCCAUAAUGGUGUCCCCCAGGGGAAGCCCCCCGGUGGCAGGUACCACAGCCCUGGACGGGCUCUUCAUGGGAAGGUCAGCCCCUCUCCGCUCUCCCCUCUCCCUCCCUCCCUGACUUCUUUCUUUUUGUUGGGGUGGGGGACGGGUACUGUGGAUUGAACUCAGGGGUCCUCGACCACUGAGCCCACCCUCUUCUGUAUUUAUUUAGAGACAGGGUCUCACUGAGCUGCUUAGCACCUCGUUUUUUUGCUGAGGCUGGCCUUGAACCUGUGAUCCUCCUGCCUCAGCCUCCUGAGCCGCUGGGAUGACAGGCCUGCGCUACUGCACCUGGCUCCAUCCCUGACUUCUUUUUUCGUUUUUGGUCCUGGGGAUUGAAUCCAGGGGCACUUAACUACUGAGCCACAUCCCAGCCCAUACACACACACCCACACCCACACAUAAUAUUUAUUUUUAAAAAAUUUAAUUUAGAGCCAGGGUCUCUAUAGUUGCUCAGGACCUCCCUGAGUUGCUGAGGCUGGCUUUGAACCUGAGAUCCUCCUGCCUCAGCCGCCCCGCCCCCAGCCUCUGGGAUUGCAGGCGUGACCCCGGGCCAGCUCAUUCCCUGCCUUCUGCUCCAGCUGAUCGGGGCCCUGGUGCUGUCUGUGGGGAUCUACGCUGAGGUCGAGCGGCAGAAGUACAAGACCCUGGAGAGUGCCUUCCUGGCGCCCGCCAUCAUCCUCAUUCUCCUGGGGGUCGUCAUGUUCCUGGUCUCCUUCAUUGGUGUGCUGGCCUCCCUGCGGGACAACCUGUACCUUCUCCAGGCGGUGAGUGAGCCUGGCCUCUGCCGGGAGGUGGUGCUGGGGGGUUCCUGGGGUCUCCAGGAAAGCCCAGGAGACACCCCCAACCCUGGUACAGCUUGGUUUCCUCAGUCCACACCACCAAGCGGCUUCUCCCGAGGACCCCCUGGGCUAGCCCACAGAUCCUGGUGGCCAGGAGAGCCCGGGCCACCCUGCCUACUUAUAAAAGCUGAUCUGAAAACUGUUCUUGCUCCUUGAACUGUCCCCCUCGACCUCAGUUGCAACAGGAGAAGCGACACUCAGGGGGCAACAGGCAAAGCCAGACAGGAGCAUCAGCUUGUGCGACCCGCGGACCACACUGGGGGGGUUAGCGGUGCCUCUGGGUAGGGCUGGGCUGUCUCUCUUGCCACCUCCCAGGGGACGGCUCCUGCCUAGCGCUGUCCUCUGGCUUUCUGUGUAGGGGUCACACUGCAGCCUCGGGCCACAGAGUCCUUAGAGUGCUGGAUCCCAGGCAUCUCUCCUGGCUGAGUCUCAGGGUCCCGUGGGCCUGGCUUGAGUCAUGUCACAUGGGGAGAGAGGCAGGGGGUGGCAUCAGCCCCACCUGAAUUCCUGUACCGAGGGUGGGAAGCAUCCAGGUAGCAGAUCCUAGCAGAUCCACCGCUCCACCCUCAAGUGUCCGGCCUCCUCUGGGAGGCUUCCCGUCCCCCACAGAGGGGUUGGUCCUGCCCGAGGCUGGAGGUGCUGGGAUCAGCUGGAGGUGGCCUGUUCUCCGCUGAAGGGGUGGCAUCAGGUGACCCCUCGCCACUCUGGGUGGAUUGGGAAGCCACUUCUGAGGGGUCCUGGCGGGAGUGGGAAACACUGCCCCAGCCCGCCCAUCGAGCCAGGGCUGUCCCCUGUGGCUGAGCUGGAGUGAGCCCAGCUGUCCUCUUGGUGGAGUGGGGACCUAGAACACCGAGACCCCAGUGAGGACCCGUGGGACCAAAGGGGGUGACAGCCUGCUUAGGGCAGCUGAGUCAGUCUUCCUGCCUCAUGGCCCCAGAGACGGGCCUCCCGGGCACAGCUGAGCGGAUCCCGAGUUCUCCCGGGAGGAAAGGCCGAGGCCAGGGAGCCAGCGGAGCUGCCACAGGUGACACUCCCUGUUGAUCUGCUUGCUCUCGGGGCAGAUGAAGCUGAGCCCCACACACGUCCCCUGCCCGCCCCAGGUGAGUCGCUGAAUUCUGUCUUCCAGUUCAUGUACAUCCUUGGCAUCUGCCUCAUCAUGGAGCUCAUUGGUGGCGUGGUGGCCUUGAUCUUCCGGAACCAGGUGGGCCUGGGGGUUUACUUAUCAGCUACAUGUGUGCUGUGCACCUACUGUGUGCCCUGGGCUGUCAGCGGGGGCUGCGGGGAACAGGGCAGAGCAUCCUCACGGGGCGGGGCUUCCACUCUGCUGGGGUGAGGAAACAGGUGACCUGAGAGACCCGGGGGCGGGGUGGGGGAGGACAGGGCCACAAAAGGAGAAGGAACCAGCCAGGCAUGGCCUGGGCAGAGGGGGCUGAGCAAGAAUGAGCUCUCAGGUUUGCAGAGCCUCAUGGAGGCCUCUUGGCUGAUUGGAAGGGGGAUGGGGAGGGGGACAGAAGGGGGGCCAGGAGGGCCUGUCUGGGGACCACUGGGGGUGGAGGGGGGCUCAGAGACUGCGGGUUGGGAGCUUGAAAUGAUUUUAAAAGCCCUGGGAGCCUUUGGAGAGUCUCAAGCAGGAAUGGAUGAGGUCUGAUUUGAUUUUACUCUGGGCUCCAGGUAGAGGGUGGUGGGGGGCAGGCAGGGCUGCUGGAGGAGACCAGCUAGGGGCCUUGGUGGCCAGGGCAGAGGGGCUGGCGGCUGGGGGGCGGGAAGCCUGGACUGAAAUGUGGGGUUUGGUGUGCACUCUGGAGGCGGCCCCGACAGGGCUGUUGUGAUGGGUAUAAAAUCGAGGCCGUUUGAGGGGCGGUGCCUGACGUCCUGGCCCCGUGGGUUUGCAGAGCAAGGGCCCAGCCAAGCUGGGGAGGUUCACGGCUCUUGGUCUCUGACCCCUUCAUGUUAGUCUCCAGACGUGCGUCAUCCUAGCUGAGUGACCUUGGGAAGGUCACUUGACCCUCAGCUCCUUGGGGGAUCACCAUUCCUAGCUCUUGGGGUUGGGGUGAGGAUGAAGUAUGGAGAACUUGGCACAGAUUGGGCACAGGCUGGACCCUCACUAGCUCCUCUGGCCCAAGGCCCUCAGGCAGCCCCAUGGUGUGGUAGGGCUGCCUUCCCACCUGGGGUCUGUCCUUUCUCCCAGGAUCUCCUGUUGUCUCCUCCUGCUUCGGGGUUGCAGGUGGGACCCGAGGAGCAGGGCACAUUUGCAGAAGCCUAGUCCUUUCUGUCCAGUCCUCUGCCUUCAUGCCUGCCACCCCAGAUAGUGUGUUUCCUGGAGGUCCAUGGCUGUUGGGAGGUAAUUCAGGGCUGAGGUCAGAUUCUCCUCCUCAGAAGCUGAGCCCAAGGCAGCAGUCCCCAUCCCAGACCCUGGGUUGUGCGGAGCCCUCCAACAGCUCAGUGUCCCGUCCGUGCCAUGCUCUUCCUGGGUGUGGCUGGAGUGCCAGCUCAGGUGGGGGCAGUGACCUCGCCUGCUUGGGCUUCCUGUGGUGGGACCUGACCUCAGGCAGGUCCACACCCUGAGAGCCAAGGGUCUGCAUUCUGUUGGGUGAGCCCCAGGAGAGGGCGUCAUCAGUGCACAGAGAGGUUAAGAAAUUCUUUCAAGAGCACACAGCGGACAGAGGUGGCUCAGGGCUACAUGAGUCCAGCCUUGCCACCUGCUCCUUCCCUUGCUCCCUUGCUAAUUUCCGGGUCGUCUGCUCUGAGCUGGCAGACCCAGGACACCGGGAGAGCCGUGAUCAUUUCACCUGUGCAGGCCGCAGGGCCCCUGGCUGGCUGGGGACCUUCUCGGGGUUAUGGGUCAGUGUUUUCCGGGCCAAAGCCCAGUCCAGCUCCUGGCCAGCAGCCUCUGCCACCUUAAUAACCAGUCCCCUCCUAAGUGAGCAGCGGUCUUAGUUCCAGCAUGUUUCCGCCAGGCAGCUGGCUUUGUCAUUUCCCAAUGUCCUGGAGGUCAACAAGGCCAUGCUGUGGCCUCCUUUCAACUGAGGGAGCUGAGCCCACUGAGGGCCCUGGAGCCUCCUGGGGCCUUCCGCUCUCUGCUUGGGAAGCCACAGGCCUGAGGUCACUGGGAGAAUUUCCAGCGGCCCCCAAGCCUUGCAGGAGCCACGGCCUGUGGAGCGUGUCCUUCUCUUUUGAUUGGGUGUCCCCUGGGGCCUUGGUGGGCAGGGGCUGUGCUGCGUGGAGGUGGGGGAGGGGCGUGGAGAAGAAUCAGCUCAAAACCAAAAUCAGUUUCCCCUCCUGUGUCCUCGGGGCCCAGGUCCCCCCUGUGACCCCAGUGUGAGGGGUUCCCCCCACAUGCCACACGUUCAGCCAUCGGGUCAGUCGUGGACGCCGGCGGGGUGUCCUGUAACACAGUUCACUGUCUAUCUGGAGGUAGCGGCGGACUCCACAGGCUGAGGGCUCCGUGCCCAAGACUGUCCCCUCCCCUUGAGAUGCCAGUCACAAGUCCCAGGUGGUUCUGCGUGUGCUUCUGACCAACCAGCUCCCAAUCGGGGUCCCACAGCCCCCCCUGCAGGUCAGCAGAUUGCUGGGGAAGCUCACGGGGGCGUGGUGCUGGCUUAAGGGACAUUGGGAAGGAGGGGAGAUGCACAGGUGAGGUCUGGGGGAAAGGGUGUGGAGCUCCAGCCCUCUCAGGUCCCCCCUGCAGGGCCUCGCUGUGCCCCGCUCUCUGGAGGCCUCUGAACCUGUCCUUUGGGGCUUACGGAGACUCUGGUGCGUGGGCACCGUGGAGAGUGGCGGGCAGGCACCCAGCGAGGCCUGUGCAGGCCUGUGUGUUCAGACUUCCAGCAUGGCUCCCUCAGGGGAGUCGGGCAAGACCCCUGGAAUGAGGAGGGUGUGGUGACCUGCCUUCACACCUGGGUAGGUUGGAGGUGUCUUUGUGUCCUCGACAGAUGGGGGAAGAUUAAAGUUCCUAUGGCCUGUGUCAAGAAGAAGAAGUUUGCAUUUCUUGUGUGUGUGUGUGUGUGUGUGGGGGUGGGUGUGGGUGUGUGUAGCACUGGGGUGGAACCCACGGGUGCUCUACCACUGAGCUACACCCCCAGCCCUUUUUAUUGUAUUUUGAGACAGGGUCUCACUGAGUUGCUGAGGCUGGCCUUGAACUUGUGACCCUUCUGCCUCAAGCCUCUGGAGUAGCUGAGAUCAUAAGUGCACAGGCCAUGCCUGACUCAAAAAUUCCAGUUUCUUUGACCUCCCAUGGGGAGGGAAUGUAUAUCUAUCUACAUACAAAUACAAGUAAAAGUACAACAGUCUCAUGGUAUCAGAGAGCUGGAAGGCAAUUUAAAAAAUGUUAAGGGCAGCCAGGUAGGAGGUGCACGGCCCGGGACCCAGAGACCAGGGAAGCCGUGGGUGAUUUUAAGUAGUAUUUAUUUUAAAAUAAAAUAAAAACUAAAAAAGGAUUGGGGAUGUAGCUCAGUGGUAGAGUGUUCCUGGAGUCAAUCCCUGGUACCAAUAAAUAAAUAAAUAAAUGAUGAUGAUGAUGAUGAUGAUAAUAGUAAUAAUAAUAACAGCAAUGGUAAUAAAUAAAAAUAUUAAAGCAGGAUACAAAAUCACAAAUGCAGUAAAAAUCUUCACGAUAAAAAAAUAGGUCUGGAAAAGACUCAUGGGAACAGAAAUAUGAGCAUUAAUAUAGCCCUUGAAGGAUGGGAUGCCUCUCUAUUUUUUUCCCUAGUUCUCAGAUUUUCUUUUUUGUUUUUUAAAGUUAAGGGGAAAACACCACAUUAAAACAAAACAAAACAAAACACUGUUCCAUCAAGUGCGGUGGCACACACCUGUAAUCCCAGCCGCUCGGGAGGCUGAGGCAGGAGGAUCAUGAGUUCAAAGCCAGCCUCAGCAACAAUGAGGCGCUAAGCAGCUCAGGGAGACGCUGUCUCUAAAUAAAAUAUAAAAAAGGGCUGGGGAUGUGGCUCUGUGGUUGAGUGCCCCGAGUUCAAUCCCCAGUUCCUCCCUCCAUCCCCAAAAAACCACUGUGCUUUACAACUCUUAAUGCAACAUGACUUCGUAAGGCAAGAGAUGGGCCAGUGUUGGGGACACGGCAGGAGGGCUUGCCUGUUGAUGGUAGGAAGGCGGAAGACCAGCGAGGAGCCAUCCAGGCCAGCUUCCAGGAGGAGGCAGGUUCCUGGUUCCAUGUUUCCUUCAUCAAGAGAAGACAGAUCUCUCUGAGCCACCAUAUAACAAGUUCGGCCUCCAGCACUAGGAGCCACCCGUUAACUCCUAGACCAUCUGUGUGGUGACAAGUGAGAUCAAAUGAUCAGGCUGAAGAUGCCAUGUGGGUUCUCAGGGAGGGGCUCAGACAGGGGCCAGGUCCCGGUGGCCAAAAAUCAGCCCUUGGUGAAAGGCAGGGACUCCUCAGCGGGAGGUGGGCAAGGCUUCUGCUGACGCCCCGAGCUCAUGGUGGGAUGGAGGGGUGAGCAGCCAGGCAGUGCGGGGCAGGGCCAUAGCAGGUUUCAGAAGCCGAAGUGGCUGUGGCACCUUGGCCAGGCCAGUGGGAGGAGGACCCUGUGACCCCCCCACUGUCCAGGUCUCGCCCCUCUUGACACUUUCUGCCUUCCCCUUAAGGAGGCCAGUGGUGGGGCACCUGGAGCGCCCUGGGCUAUGGCAGGAAUGUCUGUCCCCGUGCCAGCCUCCUUCCCUCUGCCUUUACGGAGGGCAGUGGCCUCUCUUUUACUCUCCGUUGAAGGAGGCCCUGCUUUCUGGUUGUCCACCUGGUACCUGCGCUGGCUGUGGACACACCAGAGGUCGGGGCAGGAGGACUAGACCGCGCCACGGCUCCUGAGCUCCUGAGCCCCUCAGCACAGGGACCCUUCCCCGGAGCCAAGCUGCUGGGCUCCAGGGUGGGAGAGGCUCUGGACUGGCCUGGCCAGACUCCCCAGCAGGCGGACCUACUGUGGGGCUGCUGGGGAGUGAAGGCUGGAGCCCCAAGUUUGUGGGACACUGAAGCAUAACCUCCCCCCCCCCCCCCCGCAGGGACCAGCCUGUGACUCCCAGACGGACCCCAGGGAGCCUCGGGCCAAUGUUCCCCGAGAGCCUUUCAGCUCUGACCCCGGGAUUCUCUUCUGUCCUGGGCUGUCAGACUGGGCCUCUGUCAGGACUGGGCAGAGGCUGGGGUCUGGGGCAAUGAGGAUGAGUCCCCACCUUCUAGGGGGACUGGGGGACAUUCACAGGUGACUGCAUAGGCACUAAGGGAGGCAGGAAGCCCAGGCCAGGCUGCCCUUCCUCCAGGAUCUGAGGCCCAGGCGUGCAGCUGGGCUGCCAAGGCAAGGCCUCCCCAGCCUUUGGUCUCAAAGCUAAUAAGGAAGUGCAGGAAGCCUUGGGCAGCCUGCAGGGCCCAGGACGGCUCUGUCCCCGCAGGGCAGGCUCCUGCUAGGCUCUUUGCUCUUCCCUGCUGCCAGGGAGCUACAACCUCUAUGAUUCCUCAUUUAAAAACUUCCAGGCAGGCAGGUGGCACACGCCUGCAAUCCCAGUGACUUGGGAGGCUGAGGCAGGAGGAUUGAGAGUUCAAAGCCAGCCUCAGCAACUUGGUGAGGCCCUGAGUUACUCAGUGAGACCCUGUCUCUAAAUAAAAUAUAAAAAAGGACUGGGGUGGGGGCUCAGGGGUUGAGCGUCUCUGGGUUCGAUCCCUGUACUUUCCACACCUCUCUCCAGGGAGGGUGAUGCAGAGGUUCUACAGCUUGAAAACUCCAUCUCAAAGAAAGAUCUAGAAAGGACAGUUCUUUGUCUUAUCUGGUGGCUGCAACAACGUGCUCUGGAAACCCCGCGGCCUCCGGCCUUCGCUGACUCCUGACAUAACCUAGCCCAGACCUCGUGAGCCUGGUGCCUGGGGAAAGGUGGCUUUCUGGACCCACUGGAGCUGCCCCCGUGGCGUGACCUGGCUCAGAGCUGGGCCUGGGUGCCCUCUGGGUGUGGCUGCAGAAAGCUGAGUUCUCUCUGGCUGCCACACUCCCAGGGCAUGUCCUCCGACUGGCUCGAGUCCCUUGGAGCAUGCCCGGUGCUGGUGACAUCAGUGAGCGCUGUACAGUUCAGAAAGGCACAGCCUGCCCCCGCCUGGGACUUCCUCCCUCACCCCCUCCCCAGCUGCCCCUCCAGUGUCCGGCUUAUGUCCCCAGCGUGCUCAUGUGCAAACACACACGCACGCAUGUGCACUCACAGUGCCAGAAGCAGUGCACGCUCACAAGAGCCAGCCUGACCCAGAGAGCUCCCUCCUGGGAGCUGGGCAGCUGCUGCCCAUGGGCAGGACCAUCUGUCCCUCCCACGACUCCCAGGUCCCCAGAGGCCUCCAGCAGGCCCCCUUUCCCCGCAGGGCAGCUCAGUUUCCAUAUGGAUUUCCACAGAGGCCUCCCUUGGGGUCAGUGCCCUUGGAAGGCGCUCAGUGACAGGGUGGGGAGAGGCCGGGGAGGGAGGCCAGAGAGCCAGGGAGGACCUUCCCUUGGGGCCACCAGCUCCCCUCUACGCUGUCUUCCUCCUGCCCUGGCCUCCUGGCUUGUCCACCUGUUGCCAGUUCUCAGGGUCCAAACAGCCCAGUGGCCCAGGGGAGGGCAGCGGUGGCCCAGGAGGGUGUCCCUAGUGCCUUGAGGGUGGAAGGAAGCCACACACCACAUCCCCACCCUGUGGCCCCAGGCAUGUCCCUAACCUGGUGUCACCAGGCACGCAGCUCAGCCAAGUGCCCCUUGCACAAGUCACUCAGUGCUGUGAGCUCAUUCCCCGGCCCCACCUUGGGUGACAGACUGACCCACCCUGGUGUCCCAUCCCCUCGCCAUCCCCUGCCAGGCCCCGGCCACUUGGCCUGGCCCUUCACAUCCAGAUGGACGUUGGAAAGGCUUCGUCACUUGGGGGCCUCUGGGGAGGGUGGGCCAGCGGCCAGGCCGGUCCUCGCUCCACCUGGGCCGUGUGGUGAGCAGGCCUGGUCCAGCCGCCCCUGCCCCGGGGUCCAGGGCCAGACCCGAGGGGCGAAGCAGGCUGGUGAGUUCAGAGACUCGCCCACAGCCUCUGCCUUCCCUCCCGGGCCGAGGCCGGCCUUCCCCUCGGCAGGUCCGCUGUGGAGCUGCUGUUGAUCAGCAGCAGAGGGCGGGCUCUUGCUUCCCAGAGCCAGGCUCCUGCAUCACCUUGGCUUUGAGCAGUUCGGAUCUCGGGCAGGAGGUGGCCAUCUUAGAGAGAUGACCUCAAAUCUGAAUCUUACGUUCUUUGCUUGGCACUUUAAAGUGUCAAGGGGGGAGUUUGACACCCUGGCGACAGCACCUUCUCCCGUGUCAAGUAGGACAGCAAAGCUGCCGUUGCUCUUCCUGCUUUAUAGAGGAGAACUGGAGGCCCAGAGAGGCUGAUCGACUUGCCUGCAGUCACACAGCUGGGAGUGGGGGUAGGAGGAUUUGAACUCAUGGGCAGCUUGCAUCUCUCUGUGGGUCCCAGGAUGCAUGCAAGGAUGGCCCUGGGACUCUGCCCCAGAGGCUGCCUCUGUUACAGUGGGUCUUUUGGAUGAGAGUCGGGGCCUCCGUUCCCCUGCUGUGACCACGGUGUGGAGUGUCUCACGAGGUAUUUGUCUCCUGGAAACAGUAGUGAGCCGUGUGCCCGCGUCCUGUUAGACGCGUCCAGAGCUUUAGCUAUUCUAAUCUCACGGCCUCUUUAUAAGCCAGAGGUGUUGGCCUCUAGAUUUUGGAGGUGAGGAAAUGAAGGCUUGCAAGUCACCGUGCCUGCCGUGGGGUGGCCGGGGCUGUCCCCUGGACCAGGAGGCUGGACAGUCGAGGCCCUGAACUUCGAUCUUCAGAUCUGGAAGGUUCCUUGAGGACAGCCUACGGGUUGGCUUACACGUGGGAGACUGAGGCUCAGAGAGGGGACGUGAGCUGGGAGGGGCCUGGAACCUGGCCCCUCUGUUGCACUGUACCCCGUGGCCCCACUGUCCCUCUGUACCCUGUGGCCCCACUGUCCCUCUGUACCCCGUGGCUCCUGCCCCGGGAAUUGUCUGGCUCCUCUCUCUGGCACUAGAGCCAAGAAUGCCCCUUUGUCCCCGGCCUCUGCCGGUCCCCGCCUCAGUGCUGUGAAAGCUCUGAUUGUCCCUGGAGCCCCUGGAUCCGGGCUGCCCACACUGCCACCCCCGCCCCUGCCUGCUGUGGGCCCUUUGUGUCCCCGGAUCUCGGCACAACAGCCGGCUGUUGAUCCAGAAAGCCCAGCGUGACCGGGAGGGGGCAUGCCAGCCCACUGCCCGGGAGGACUGUCCCUGCCCCGCUGGCCAUGGGCACCACAGAGAGGGAAGGAGGCCCAGGCGGGGGGAUUCCAGGGUGGCCAGCCCUGGUCAGCGACCCUGUGACUCCCUGCUGGUCCCUUAGUGUCCUCCUCUAUGAGGGGGAUGGGGGGCAGAGGGGAGGGGGUUUGGAAGGCAGAGGAAGGUUCCAGCUCAGGUCUGUCCCUGGGCCAUCAGAGAGCAAGGGGCUGGGGGCCAGUGUGCCCCGGGCCCAGCUCGCCCCGCUGCUUCCCGGCCCAGUGCCUCCAAGCUGGGCCCAGCCUCUCGGGCCUGGGCCUGCCGCAGAGCCGGGACAUUGCCCUGCUGGGACCUGGCGCCCACUGGGCCUCGGGGCGUAGGGAGGGUGCCGGGACUGGGAGCUCGGGGAGCGGAAGGGCGUCGGUACCGAUCUUCCUUCCAAGACCUGGGGGUGGACCUGGCCUGUGGCCUUCCCUGUGCCCCCUCUUCUCUUAGACCAUUGACUUUCUGAACGACAACAUCCGACGAGGGAUUGAGAACUACUACGACGACCUCGACUUCAAGAACAUCAUGGACUUUGUUCAGAAGCAGGUGAGCCCCGGGGCUGGGGCCAGAGGGGUACCUCGAGGUCCUUCGUCCCCCUGACUCCCACCACAGUAGGGGCCCCUGCUCCAGAAGGGAGGGGGUGUCAAGGGUCAGGUGACGUAUCCAUUCCCAAAGCAGGCGGCUGGCCCAGUUGGGAGGCGUGGCCACCAACGAAGCCAGGGCCCAGCUGGCCCCCGAGUCCUGGCCCAGGUGACCGUAUCCUACCCACUCUGGUUACAUGGACCCUCCCCUGUCCCCUCCCACCCCCAAAUAAUCACCCCCACAGCAAGGCCAGGCGGAGCUACGGGCCACCUUGCAGGGUCCUGGGUACACCUCCUCCAGGGCCAGGGACCCUCCUCUGCGGGAUGAGGUGGCCUCCCCAGCCUAAGCCUCCUCGGCGAAGUCCCCUGGCUCCAGGGAGCUCACCUGCUAAGUGACAGUCCUGAUGGCAGGACUCUGCACCGGCUCAUUCCUCCAGGUCGGGCACAGAGCCACCCCCGCCCCCACCACGCGUCCCCCAGUGUGAUGAGAAUCCUGUGCCGUCUGGGGUCCCCGGCCUCCCCAGGCCCACCCGACUCUGUUGGUGCCAUGAGAGCAGUUGCAGGGCCGCCAGUGUCCCCAUGUGCUCCUGCACCUGUCUCCUUUGGUCCCGGCUCACGGUCCUCACUCCCUGAGCGCUGCCCUGAGGGUCACCCAACUUCUCUCAGGAACAGAGCCUGGCACAGCACGUGCCAGCAGCGAGGCCGUCCUUACACUCUCCUGGUUGAGGCCAGCAGAGUUUGAAGGCUGCAGGCCCACUCGGCCCUGGAGGCCUGUCCUGGGACAUGACCUUGGGGGUUGGGCUGGCCCUUGAGGACCAGCCUCUCAGCACACCCAGGGCCCUUGGCUCAGAGCUUCUCUGUGGUCAGAACAGGUGCAGCUUCUGGGAGCCCUGGCUGCCAGGACGUGCCUGCCAACGCUGGCCGGAGCGUCAAGUCAGACUCCAGGGAGAGCACGAUGUUUUUAUUGGAACCAGCCUCUUGCUGGCACGGGGACUCCAUCUCCUGGGUGGGGCAGGGCUGACCAAAGCUCACUGGGCCCCUGCUGUGCACAGCCUCUCUUGUGAUCACAGCUUAGUUCUGCAAAGCUGCUGUUGCUCUUCCUGUUUUAUAGAGGAGAAUUUGAGUCCAGAGAGGCUGAUUGACUUACCUGCAGUCACACAGCUGGGAGUGGCAGUAUGAGGAUUUGAACUCAGGCAAAGCAGAUGUCCCUUGAACUGCACAGAGGCACUUACAGAUCCAGAAAGCUGAUUGCUUAAGAGGCACUAUGGGGGCUCUGGAAGGGUGUCUGGUUUCUGUUUCUACCAGGACCUCCUACUGAAGCUCUCCCCAGGGAUGCUCCACUGCUCCUGGACCUAAUCCCGGCUCCCCGCUUACUCUGGCUGACGGGGCUUGGCGGUGCUCUGCCUCCUUCUCAUAACCUGCCACUCGCUCACUCUGUUCCAGACUCGCUGGCUUUUGUGCCCACUGCUGAAGUACAGGCUCGUUUCUGCGCAGGGCCUUUGCACAUGUCAACGGGCUUGUCCUUACUUACUUUUCAGAUGAAAUGUCCCCUCCUCAGAGUGGCCUUUCUGGACCUCCCAACCUGUAGCCACCCACCCUGCUCCCCCCCACCCGUCUCUCCAAGUCCAGGGUGCACAGAACCCCACCUGAUCUUUUCACUUAGCACCUACUGUCUCCCUCGGUGCUUUUGCUCACCCCUUUCUGCCCAGAGCCCCGAACAGAAGCUGGCUCCGCCCACUCCUCAGAGCUGCGCCUGCUGCCCAUGGAGCUGGCUGCUGGGGAGGAGGGCGUGGGGUUGACCCGAGGGAGAGCCGGGGCAGCUGCUCGUGCCCCAAGGCCAGUGGACGGGGACUUCCACAGAAUCAUGGUCUCUGGUGCCGUGAAGGUCCUCCUCCAGCCCAGCGCCUGCACAGGGACACGGGGACACAGGGACACAGGGAUGGUGAAGUUGUCAAAGGAGGAUUUUCCUUUGGUGCCCAGGUGUUGCCCUGACCUGGGGCACUCACUGCCUCCCGAUGGCUGAGCCGCUCGGGGACAGCUCUGGCCCCACACUGCACAGCCGAUGCCCUCUAGGGCUCCCUGCCUCAGGGCAACCCCCGUGGUAGACCGCUGUCCCCUGGCCCCUUACCGCCACCCGACCUCCUCGGCAGUGAUGGCUCCCUGUCCCGCUUGUGUCCUCCUCAGUUCAAGUGCUGUGGCGGGGAGGACUACCGAGACUGGAGCAAGAACCAGUACCAUGACUGCAGCGCCCCUGGGCCGCUGGCCUGCGGGGUGCCGUACACCUGCUGCUUCAGAAACACGGUAGCUGCUGGCAGGGGGAGGGCAGGGGUGCACCCCACGCUCAGAUCCCGGGUCCGGGGUGGUGGCCAGAGCCGAGCUUUCCUGAGCUCCAAGGGCUCCUGCAGGGGGAGGCCAGGGAGGGUGUCGCCUUGUGAGCCAGGUCAGUUGGCCUCUGUUGGGAACGAGCCCUUUGAUUGGGUGAAUUCACUUUCCACUUACAGCCUGUGAGCAGGCCCUGGGAUUGUCCCCACUUUCCAGAUGGGGAAACUGAGGCACUGGAAGGUUGGGCGUCCUGUCCAGACUUGGCAGGGCUAUAGGGUAAAAUGCCCGCAGCUGUGCCCUGGAGAGCUGUGGGCAGGGACGGGGCAGGAGGAGGGGGCCCUGGCGGGGGGUGUCUCCCGUGACCUUGAGCUUGAGGUUCUGGGAGUCGCAGCAGCAGAGCACUGGGGAGAAGCGGGUCUGGGGGUGUGAAUGCCUGCUUCUGCCUCUCCCCGGCACACCCCUCUCAGCUGUCACCUCCUGAGUCCCCUGGGCUGCUGUCCUAUGCAGUCACCGCCCGUCAGUCCUCGGGUGUAGCCAGUGUGCGCAGAGCUGCCUGGUUUCUGGAUCGGAAUGGAGCAGACGGCGUUGCAAUUACUCAAGCCACCAAGAGUCAUGGAAAAUUCCCCGCUGACACCUCCGCUCUCUGUGCCCGCGGGUUCUGUAAACGGAGCAGUGGCGGGCGGGGGCCUCGCCCUGAGCCGGAGCCAGUGACAGUGUAUCACCCUAAAAAAGGCCAGGCCAGGAGGGGAGCCGGCAUGGCACAUCCAGCUGCCAUUUUAGGGUAGAUCUCUGGGCAGCAGGAGAGCCGUGGAGAGCCGGGGUUUUCAGAGACCUGGAGAGGUUCGUCCAGCACUCUUAAGUGGCAGAGAAGGAGCUGGAUCCAUUGAGGGUGAUGCCGGAGGCCACAGUAGCCUCUCCUUGGUCACUCAUGGCCCCCUGGCCCCACAGCGUUCACUUAGACAUAGAGGGACACGCUGGACAGGCUGAGCCUGGGGGCCCACCUCUCCCCUUAUGAAUGGAGAUGGCAUCAGGCAGGGCACAGGUGGUGACAGAAAGUUCCCCUGCAGCCUGUGUCCUGGGGCCUGUCUGGAAGGGAUGGGACAGGGCCUGGUCAUAGCUUUCUCUGUGCCUGAGUUGACCAGCAGCCAGGAGUCCUGGGGACCACUCUUCCAUAGCGCUCCCUGCUGCUGAGGCAGGGGACGUGUGGCCAGUGGCCCAGGGAAGGGUGGACCCAGCGGCAGGGUCCCAGCUGUGGUCUGAGGUUUCCCUUCAUAGGAACCAGUGGAGUAGGAAGAGCCCGGUCCCAGCCUCUUCGAGGUGUGUGACCACAGUGGCUCUUGGAACAGCUGGGGAUCCUGAGACAGCACCGCCUGGUUACUGCGGGUGGAGGGGACAGUUUAGGCACAGACUCAAGCCAGGCCACUUGGGCAGACCCUCGGCUCCCUCCUAGACGGCGCAACUCUCUGGGCCUCAGUCCUUCCAGCUGUAAAAUGGGUGGAUUGAGGGUCUUAGUGUGCACCCUGGAGGGUUACCGGCCACACCUUUCUGUUUCAGACAGACGUUGUCAACACCAUGUGCGGCUACAAAACCAUCGACAAGGAGGUAAUGUCUUUGAAAUUCCUUUGUCCCAGAAUUUGGCUCUUCUUGUCCUUCCCCCAGGUAGACAGAGGGGUUUCCAGAGGUGGGGUUCCUGCUGCAGUGACUCCCCACACUCCUGGCUGUGAGCCGAGGACAGGCCUGCCGGACACAGAAGGGCUCAGGGAGCCAGGAGUCCUCGUGUCCCUGGGUCUGGGAGAGGCCACCUGCCAGGGUUUGCUGAGCACCUAGUUCAGUCUUGUGCACAUGAGAGACGGUGGCCCUUGCAGGCACCCCCUGUACACUGUGUCCCUGGCUCUGCCCCCUCCCAGCCUGCUUUUGCCCUUGGAGUUGCCAGUUGGCAGACGGCUCAUCUCUGCCUGAGACCCAGGAGGACAGUGAGCCCCUGGGGGUACCCCGGGGUCAGCUUCCUGAGCAGUAGGGGGUCUCUGCAGCAGCUGCCCUGUGGGAACACAUUAGAAAGCACAUCAUUUGGGAGCAUUUCAGAUUUGGGGGUUUGGAUUAGGGAUGCUCAACCUUUAUAAUCACUAUUCGAUUUACAUAGUAGUCGUUCUAGACGAUUCCUUGUAUAUUAAAACCAUGCAAAAAAACCCAAACCCUUUUUUCUCCCUCCUACGUACCUGGAGUUAGGCUUUUGGCUCAGGUGGCCGUAGGCAGGCCAGGGGUCCACUUGAAAGGCGUGCACACGGGCCAGUGUUUGUGGACUAGGGUUACCCUGAGCUUUGCCAUCCUCCAGUACCCAGCCCCAAUCAUUUGGACACCAAGGUGCCACCGCCAUGUCCCCAGUACUCUUUAGGGGAGUGAUACUAGAGAAUCAGUGGUCUGCGGCCAUCUUCCCAUAUUGCAUGGGAGAAGCGGAGGCCCAGAGUGGCCAAAGGAUUGACCUGGAGCUCUGGUGAGUGGCAGAGGGGAUGUGCUGUCGGGCUGACCAGCCUCCCCCCUACAGCGCCUCAGCGUGCAGGACGUCAUCUACGUGCGGGGCUGCACCAACGCUGUGCUCAUCUGGUUCAUGGAUAACUACACCAUCAUGGCGGGCCUCCUGCUGGGCAUCCUGCUCCCCCAGGUGGGAGCCCCCAGGGUCCCCUGUGCAGCUGGGUUAUUGCAGGAGUAGUGUGGGAGAAGAUGGGGGGCUCUGGGAGGGCUGGAAGAGAGGCCGGGAGGCUGGAGCGUGGGGUGUUGAGCUCUGAGGUGCUUCACAGGCACCUCCUCCUCCGGCUCUCUGUGAGGGAGUGGGACGAUCAUUCCCAUUUUGCAGAGAAGGAAACUGAGGCUUGGCGAGGUGAAGUGACGUGCCUGAGCCCUGCUAGAUGGGCCACGGCAGAGCUGGGUGGGGAGCAGGUUCCCAGCCUGCAGGGACCCUGGCUGGUGGGACCCAGGGAGGCCUCUGAGGUUUCUGGGGGGGGGGCCUGGGGAGGCCUAGGCUGGGGCUGCUGGGUCGUGGGGUGCAGGGAGGAGCUCCCGGGAGGGCUCUGCACUGGCUGCUCGUGUUUCUGGAGCCGGGACCUGCCAGGGAGGGCCGCCCUGGGGGCCGCGAGGCUCUCCCCAACCUGCCCCUUCUUCUUAGUUCUUGGGGGUGCUGCUGACGCUUCUGUACAUCACCCGCGUGGAGGACAUCAUCAUGGAGCAUUCUGUCACCGACGGACUUCUGGGCCCGGACGCCAAGCUCAGCGCGGACACAGCAGGCACAGGCUGCUGCUUGUGCUACCCCAAUUAGGGCCGGGGCCUGGACACCAACUCCAGCAGGACCUGGCUGGGUGGCACCUCUCAGUCCACUUUAGGGGCUGGACAGGCUGCACCACGGCCCUGUGCCCGGGUGGAGUGCCCCUGUGGGCGGCAUCUCCACGGCCACACACUCUGGGUUCCGUGCCCACCCUGCCAGGAGAGAGAACGUGGCGUCCCUGCUCUGGGUCUGGGCCAUGAGGGAAAGAGGAACUUGGGGCUCAGCUUGGGGCCCACUUUAUUUCCGGCGGUGCCCUGGGCUUGUGGUCAGUAGGCCCCCCUUCAAGGGCAGUUUUGCUGUGAUUUGUCAGUUUGGGGAGACAGUGGCAGGAGGGGCAGGGGGUAGCCCUCCCACGCCCCAGAUCAGGUCGGGCCAUUUCUCAGCCUCCGUAGGUGCCUUCAGCCCUCUGCAAGGGCAGCUGUUUUGCUGACCUGUUUUCAUGUUCUGUGCAGAGCCGGGCAUUUUCCCGCUUUGGCUCCAAGUCAGUUCAUUAAUCAAACAAUAAAGACAAGAUUUUUUUUUUUUUUU
rnacentral:lncRNA from 1 species